AUCAGAACUACUCAUGAUUGCCAGGAAUCGACAAGGGAAACAAAAAACAUCACGCAAUAGAUUCAACGUAUACAAUAAAGAAGGCUGUUUCUGAAAACAUUACAAAGGAUAUCAUUCAUAGGUACACACCUCAGCAAUACCCUAGCCUUGCUCUUUUUCAAUAAUUUCAUCAGUACAAGAUAAGAAAUGCACAUUGAAAACACAAGAAACUUAUUCCCGAGCUUAGAUUUCUCUCGCCACUGAAAAAACACAAUCAGCAAGGCUUAUUUUCAUCUAACAACCCAAAAACAGAUCCUCUUUAUAACAACUUAUUGCUCACUUUUCAGCCAUCCUAUCAAACAACUUGAUGUCAUUUUCAUUCAUUCAAGUUUUCUUCUAAUCGUUCACUUUUAUUCUGUCUCUUUAAGUCAUUAAACCAA